rnacentral:rRNA from 1 species
AUUGAACGCUGGCGGCAGGCCUAACACAUGCAAGUCGAACGAGUGGCGGACGGGUGAGUAAUGUCGGGGAAACUGCCUGAUGGAGGGGGAUAACUACUGGAAACGGUAGCUAAUACCGCAUACCUUCAGAUGUGUCCAUAUGGGCUUAGCUUGUUGGUGGGGUAACGGGUCACCAGGGCGACGAUCCCUAGCUGUUCUGAGAGGAUGACCGUCCACACUGGAACUGAGACACGGUCCAGACUCCGACGGGAGGCAGCAGUGGGGAAUAGGGCACAAUGGGCGCAAGCCUGAUGGAGCCAUGCCGCGUGUAUGAAGAAGGCCUUCGGGUUGUAAAGUACUUUCAGCGGGGAGGCGUUACCCGCAGAAGAAGCGCCGGCUAACUCCGUGCCAGCCGCCGCGGUAAUAC